rnacentral:tRNA from 1 species
ACGCCCUUGGCGCAGCGAAUAGCGCAUCCGGCUUCGAACCGGAGGGUCACAGGUUUGAAUCCUGUAGGGCGUACCA